UAUUAUUAUUAUUAUUAUUAUUUAUUAUCAUUAUUAUUAUUAAAAGAGUUUUUAAUGUUGGUUUUAAUGUUGAGUAUGGAGGAGUAGGAUUUGCUUUGCUAUUUAUAGCUGAGUAUAGUAAUAUUUUAUUUAUGAGGUUUUUAUGUGGAGUGUUAUUUUUUGGAGGAGGAUUUUUAAGCGUUUCUAUUGGGUUUUCUAUAUCAUUAAUUGUAGGAUUGUUAAGAUUUUUAUUUAUUUGAGUUCGUGCGAGUUAUCCUCGAUAUCGUUAUGAUUUAUUGAUAUAUCUAAUUUGGAAGAGGUAUUUACCAUGUGUAUUAGAUACUUUAGAUGGUUGUUGGGUUU